AUUGAACGCUGGCGGCAUGCUUUACACAUGCAAGUCGAACGGUAACAGGCCGCAAGGUGCUGACGAGUGGCGAACGGGUGAGUAAUGCAUCGGAACGUGCCCAGUCGUGGGGGAUAACGCAGCGAAAGCUGUGCUAAUACCGCAUACGAUCUAUGGAUGAAAGCGGGGGACCGUAAGGCCUCGCGCGAUUGGAGCGGCCGAUGUCAGAUUAGGUAGUUGGUGGGGUAAAGGCCCACCAAGCCAACGAUCUGUAGCUGGUCUGAGAGGACGACCAGCCACACUGGGACUGAGACACGGCCCAGACUCCUACGGGAGGCAGCAGUGGGGAAUUUUGGACAAUGGGCGCAAGCCUGAUCCAGCAAUGCCGCGUGCAGGAAGAAGGCCUUCGGGUUGUAAACUGCUUUUGUACGGAACGAAACGGUCUGGGUUAAUACCCUGGGCUAAUGACGGUACCGUAAGAAUAAGCACCGGCUAACUACGUGCCAGCCGCCGCCGUAA
rnacentral:rRNA from 1 species